ACAUCCUCCUCACCUCCUCCCCUUGGGAUGUGAUUUGGUUGAUAAAGAUGGGAGCCUGAGGAAGACCUUGUGGACACCCCAUCUGCCAAUUGCCUUUUUCUGCUUCUUCUGUUAGGAGACGCUUUGGGUUUUUAGGGACUCUAUUUAUACAGGGAUUAUUUAGCAUUUUUAUUCUCUGAAGGUGCUGGCAUAGAUUCAGUCUGUAAUUCUAAGGGAAAGGCGUUUAGCUGUGCCUUUCUUUGUUUGUCGGAACAUUUCUGUAGAUAAGCACCCUGCACAGUAAAUAAACUGCAUUGUUAUUACAUUGCCUAGCAAUUUACCUGUAACAGACGGCUGUGCCUGCUAUAAUGACAUGAUAGCUAAUCCAUACCCCUGCAUGAUUUUAUCUUUUACUGGAGGAGGCUGGCAAGUUUAAAGGGGACGCCCUCAAGGAUCAGCUAGAGGAAACCAGUCCUGGUUUUAGUGAGUGAGGUUUUUUUUUUUUUUUUUACAGGAGGUGUACCAAAAGUCCCGUGUCCGGAUUUUGAAUGAGUGCUUCAUUUCAGGAUCAAUUACCUUAAGCUUCCCACAAACUGAAAGCUUCUGGAAGAAAAGAACUGGGUUUGGACUUCUCAGGAGCCUGUGCCCCCUCCUGGAAAGGGCACAGACUUAGAGUUCAACCUGGGUUCAACUCCUGGCUUUUAGCCAUUAACAGCCCUAUGACCUUGGGUAAGUUACUUAUUUUUCUAUAAUCUUUUUGUUGUUGUCCCAAAGCUUGUUUAACAUAUACUUCAACCUUUU
rnacentral:lncRNA from 1 species